UUUUCCACUCCCCACUCUUGCUUAAGUUACCUUAAAUUUUAUAAAACUCAUACACAAUGAACAGAACCACAAUGCAGAGAUCAAUUUCGGGCAGUGAAUCAUUUAUUGUUCUAGAGUUAUGUCCCUUUUUUACUUGGUAAAUUUUUAUUGCGAAGCUUGAGUGUCCUCAGACACGUUCCUCUUAAUCUUUUAUUAUUUAGGCACCACUUACUUUAUUUUUUCUUGGAAUAUUGUCAAACAGCUGAAGCUUUUUCAUUUCAUAAUAAAAAAAAAAAACAGUAUCCCCUACAAUGUUUAUGCCCCACCUACGAUAGUAGAGGGGCAUUAUGUUUUCUGGUCUGUGCCUCCGUUCGUCCGUCCGUACAGGUUAAAGUUUUUGGUCAAGGUAGUUUUUGAAGAAGUUGAAGUCCAAUCAACUUAAAACUUAAUACACUUGUUCCCCAUGAUAUGAUCUUUCUAAUUUUAAUGCCAAAUUAUAGUUUUCACCCCAAUUUCAUGGUCCACUGAACAUAGAAAAUGAUAGUGCGAAGUUCAGGUUAAAGUUUUUGGUCAAGGUAGUUUUUGAUGAAGUUAAAGUUACAUCAACUUGAAACUUAGUACACAUGUUCCCUAUGAUAUGAUCUUUCUAAUUUUAAUUCCAAAUUAAAGUUUUGACCCCAAUUUCACGGUCCACUGACCAUAGAAAAUGAUAGUGCGAGUGGGGCAUUCGUGUACUAUUGACACAUUCUUGUUAAACUUAUUUCACUGAUGUAUAGAUUUUUUUAGUCAACAUUUACAUGUAACUAGUUUUAUUUUUAUACAUCUGCAAAAAAUUUAAAAUAUUUGGUCGUAUAUUGGUAUCAUGUUUUAUUGAUGCCAGCAUCUUCAGAAGACAGAUGGUUUCCGGAUAAUAUCUUUUUACCUUUUCUACCUGAUAAAAGGCUGUAUAAUUUCAAUCAAUUGUACAUUUCGUUGAGGC
rnacentral:lncRNA from 1 species